AUGGAUUUAUCAAUGCAGGAAGGACUUCAAGAAACAAAAGGGAAAUAUGAAGACUGUAUUUCUACCAAGACUGUGACAUCGAAGUAUUUUCUUAGGAAAAACCUGAGGAUGUAUGUCCUGUGUCUGCAGAACCAGCUGUACAGCCUCCUUCCAGCACGUCAUUUGUAUUUAACCCAUGAGAACCGUGUUGUUACCUUAACUGCCAUGCUGUCAGGCAGUAUGUACACGAUCAUACAUGUUAUUCCACGCUAGACUUCACUUCAUUGGCUUUUACUUUUUUUUUUUUUGCUAAGAUGGUAGAUUUGCUUCUUCCUACUGAGUCUCAGUCUGAUUCAGCCUUUGUUCUCCUUUUGCAUGACCAGAACUCUCACCCAGAACCUUAUCAUUUCAUGUUUUAACAACUCUAGUCAUCUUCAUUCUAGUCUCAACAAAUACUUGCUUGCAACAUUUGUAUCUUUUCAAAUACUUUUCUUCUUGUUAUUUUGAUGUUCCAUUGUUCCCUCUCUUGUACUGUGGGAUUAUUUGCUUUAACUUUUUAGACCGCACCUUACCAUCUCUUAUGUGCUUGAACUGCUGACUGUGUGGCAUCUGCAGUGCCAGUCUUUAUUGUCCUUCUAAGUGUUUCCAACAAGUAUCUUUAAAUUUCCCUCUAUACUAUUUAAUGCAUGGUAUUUAUGAAAAAUCCUCAGUGCUAUUUCAUUGUCCUUUCAUUCCUUCCUAAUUGGGACCUCUAGAUUCUACUGCAGUUUGACUAUGUAAUAAUACUUCUAACCUAUCAUAAUACUUUACAAACCAUGUGGGAAUUCUUGGCUACUACCAAAUGAAGUUCUGGGACUAAAUUUGACCAAUAAAGUCAGCAGGAUUCUUAUCAAAUACACUGCAGUCAUAUGCUUUAAGUACAGCUUAUCCAUUGCAAUAUUACUUGUAUCAAAACUUAUCAAGAAAAUGUAACUGAACGUCUCAUCCAUAUCAGUCCAUCUAAUGUACUUUUCUUGACAGUAAAAAUGCAUUUGGUAUUUUUUGUGUGCUUUAAGAAUAACAAGAAAGUUUUU
rnacentral:lncRNA from 1 species